GCCGGCCCCACGAUGGAGAGCACGUAGUGCCCCCCGGGAGUCAGGAGGCCGGGCCUGACCUCGGGGGCUGCAGCCAGGGGAGGCCGGCACCCCAGAUAACCCCCAAAGAACUGCAGGCCCUGAGGCGAGGCCAGAGUGGGGGCGGGGGCAGGUCCCAGCCGAGGAGGUGCUCCGUGCUGCCUCAGCAGAACCCAUGAUGGGCUGGCCCAAGGCUCUGAAGGUGGAAAGGCCUCACACAUUCUGCCCCGGCUGACGCCUUCCUUGGGCCAGUGCUCGGGGGUGUGUAACAAACGCCAAGACGCAUUGUAAAGAAGGAAGCCUGCGUUUCCAUCACCGGCUUAAUAUCAAACAAAAGUGCAAUUUUGAAAAUGUAGUCCAAGGUUUUCUGUGGUGCGGAAAUGGCCAGGCCAGACCUCCGUGGGUGGUCCUUCGUGUCCACGUCAGCGCCCUACAUCCACACUGUGGGCACCAUGACCUCACAUGCGGAGCGGAGCAGGGCCGGCGCCCGGAGAGCCAGGCUGGUCACGAACGAGGCCUAGAGGGCGUCAGGCCCCAAAGCACUCACAGGCUUCUCCUCUGUCCUCGGGGCCUUCAGACACCUGCAUGCGCCGAUUCAGCCACCCGCGCGCGCCGAUUCCCCUGGCCAUGGGGUUUCCAAAGUGUGUGCUCAGAGGACAGUUUCCUCCAGGAUGACCUGUCAGUGGCUCUCUGUGCCGGGGACGUCGCGUGCUGGGUCCCGGUCUGAAUGCUUCCUAACGAUUUACCCAGUUCCUUUUCUCCACUCAGGAGGCGUUUGCUGAGAGGCACAGGCUGAGCCCCCGUGCUGAUGCCACGACCGAGGGAACGGGUCUCCCUGUCGGCGUGAACUGACCCGGCCAGGCGUCCACUGCCACUCGGACUGUCUCCCAGGCACGUGGCGCCCACACGGGCAGAACACGCCCUCCACACACGCGGCUUCGGGCAGAACACGAGGCGCCCUCCACACACGCGGCUUCGGGGCUUGUCAUGAAAAAAGCUGAAUGCUGGGGGUGCAGCUUUCACCAACAGAAUCCCGUUUGGAAGGGACGCGGUGAGACAUGAUCCACCCUAAGUUGUGAUCCUGGCCUGCAGGCCUGCAGAAGCUGCAUCUCGGGAUGGCCAAGAGCCCGGCCAGGCCCCACGGCUGCACCCAGGACGGGAUUCAUGCCCCAUGCCUGGCUUCUCACGACCACAGAGUGCCUUUCCCGGGACUGGAUGGAGGCAGAGUGAGAGAAGAGCCUGGAGCAAGUGUUUUGGACCACAGUGAUCAAACACGGAGCCCGUGGGAGGACGUGGGAGGACGUGCGGGGCUUUGCCGGGCGAGCCCGAUGCUGCUCACGGCACCUGGAGUGUUCGGGCCGCUAUUUGGGCGGUGUUCUGAGCAGCCGUCAGACCUUGAGUUUUGCUGUCAAAAGCUCUUCUCUCCUGCCCCGAAAUAUACCCAGUCCAUGCCCCAAGAGGAAAGGCCUUUGUGCCAGGUGGGCACCCGGCUGCCUCUUGGCAAAGACUUGUUGGAAAAAUGAGUGAGUGACGAGGCUGCUGGUCAGCGUGUGGCCUGUGGCGUCACUGGGGCCUCUGGCGGCUGCUGGAACCAGAAGAGGAGCCUGCGCUGCAACCCAGGCCGCACCACAUCAGGGUCUCACUGGGAGCCGGAGAGCUUGUUCCCAGGCAACCCUGAAACAGAGAAGUGUCCUUGGAGGCUUCACCCACGCAGACCCACGGCUUCCUGGUAGAAGCCGUCUGCACCCCCGCACUGACCUGGCUCUGUGAGGAGAGCGGGGAGGGGCUCCAGGGAAACAUCCUGGCGUUGGCGUAGCCAGCCUGUGAGUCACGGGGAAGCCGGCUGCCCGGAUGCCCCCCAAGGACCCGGUGAGUCCACACACAGUACAGCAGGGCCUGGGCCCGCACCACCGCCUUUUCCUGCAGGCCCCUCAUGUCCACUGACUGCACCUCCAGGGACUCUGCCCGGCAACCCAGGCGCCCCCGACACACCCCACCACACAGCUCCUUCUGCCUCACCCACACCCCGCCAGACCCUGAGCGCUCACGAAGUCUCCUUGUCAAGAACUUUGAGAGCCAGUUGCUAAACACAGAUGUUAUUUAUUUAUUUGAGACAGAGUCUUGCUCUGUCACCCAGGCUGGAGUGCAGUGGCACGAUCUCAGCUCACUGCAGCCUUGGCCUCCCGGGUUCCAGCGAUUCUCCUGCCUCAGCCUCCUGGGUAGCUGGGAUUGCAGGUGGCCACCACGCCCAGCUAGUUUUUGUAUUUUUAGUAGAGACGGGGUUUCGCCAAGUUGGCCAGGCUGGUCUCAAACUCCUGACCUCAGGUGAUCUGUCAGCCUCAGCCUCCCAAAGUGCUGGGAUUACAGGCGUGAGCCACCGCACCCGGGCUACAGAUGUUAUUUUUAAAAUUACAUAAACUUACAAUUAAAUACAUUAAGUUAAA
rnacentral:lncRNA from 1 species